GAUGAACGCUAGCGAUAGGCUUAACACAUGCAAGUCGAGGGGCAGCACAAGGUAGCUUGCUAUCUGGGUGGCGACCGGCGCACGGGUGCGUAACGCGUAUGCAACUUGCCCUAUACAGGAGGAUAACCCGUCGAAAGACGGACUAAUACUCCGAAUGCUCCCAACUUGGCAUCGAGUGGUGAGGGAAGUAAUUCGGUAUAGGAUAGGCAUGCGUUCCAUUAGCUUGUGGGUGAGGUAACGGCUCACCAAGGCAACGAUGGGUAGGGGAACGGAGAGGCAUAUCCCCCACACCGGUACCGAGACACGGACCAGUAUGCUACGGGAGGGAGCAGUGAGGUAUAUUGGUCAAUGGGGGCGAGCCUGACCCAGCCAAGUCGAUUGAAGGAGGACUGUGGUAUGGAUGGUAAUCUUCUUGUAUACGGGAAUAACAAGAGUCACGCGUGACUCCCUGACGUUACCGGAUGAAGAAGCACCGGCUAACUCCGUG
rnacentral:rRNA from 1 species